CUUCCUUUUUUUUUUUUUUUCCCCUCCCCUCAUCCUGGUCUUCACUGAUUAGGGACAGCCAGUUCAAAUGUGCAAGUAAAAUGCAAGCUGAAAGGCAGGGAGAUGAGGCAGUUCUGAAACUAGGUUAGAGAUUAAACGAGCCUGAUACUUGGCAGCUGUAGGCAAGGUUGGAUUGCCCUAGGGAAAGGGCUCAAAAUGAUUAAUGAAUUGGUGUUAUUAGCCUAUCAUGGGAUUGCAAUUCUGUUUGAAUCCUGAAAACUGAAAUUGAGAGGAGCUGUGUGGGUGUGAAUGAUGUACUGUAGAAGAAAGCUCAAGAACAGUUUCCCAGAAGGCAAGUAGAUCCCUUAAGGCAACCUCAUGUUUGUUUUACUGCACCAUGUAGUCUAAAAUAUGCCCUUCACUACCAGUGGAUUGAUUCAUCAGCUGAUACUGGGAUUUACCAUCUGCAAAGCUGUCCUUUCUCAGUUUAGGAGGCUCAGGAAACAAAGGAGGAAACCUGCCUGGCAGAGCUGGCACAGUUCGGAGCAGGGUGUGGGCAUCGGACGUGAUACAACAUGAUGUGGAAGCAGCAGAUGUUGACAUGAUCAGAUGCUGUCCCUAUGAUCCUACUGCCUGUGCCGUGUAUCCCCCCAGCCCCAGGUUAGUGCUCCCGUGCCACCUCCCGCUGCCUGGGAGGGCUGCAUUGCACCAUCCUCCAGCAGCUCUGUGCACUUGUGCCCUCCUCCUCUUCCCACAGCCUGAUUUAUUGGCUUUAUCUUUCCCUUUUACAGCCGCCCUUUGCUGCACCUGAUUGCAGUGACCUCCGGUCCCCGCAUAGCUCGCAUUCCUCAGGGGAGGGCUGCAGGCUAUGGAAGGGCUUUCUCCUUCCCAGAACCCCUCCAGAAGAGAUCAGUGUGUCCCUCAGCCACAUUAGUUGACACUGCAACCUAGCCCUACACUGUCUGUAACCUGCUGAUGGUGGCUCUGAUCAUGAUCAUGGCCUGCCAUAGAAACACG
rnacentral:lncRNA from 1 species